CCUACGGGAGGCAGCAGUCGAGAAUCAUUCACAAUGGGGGAAACCCUGAUGGUGCGACGCCGCGUGGGGGAAUGAAGGUCUUCGGAUUGUAAACCCCUGUCAUGUGGGAGCAAAUUAAAAAGAUAGUACCACAAUAGGAAGAGACUGCUAACUCUGUGCCAGCAGCCGCGGUAAUACAGAGGUCUCAAGCGUUGUUCGGAAUCACUGGGCGUAAAGCGUGCGUAGGCUGUUUCGUAAGUCGUGUGUGAAAGGCGCGGGCUCAACCCGCGGACGGCACAUGAUACUGCGAGACUAGAGUAAGGGAGGGGGAACCGGAAUUCUCGGUGUAGGAGUGAAAUGCGUAGAUAUCGAGAGGAACACUCGUGGCGAAGGCGGGUUCCUGGACAUUAACUGACGCUGAGGCACGAAGGCCAGGGGAGCGAAAGGGAUUAGAUACCCGUGUAGUC
rnacentral:rRNA from 1 species